GACGAACGCUGGCGGCGUGCCUAAUACAUGCAAGUAGAACGCUGAAGCUUGGUGCUUGCACCGAGCGGAUGAGUUGCGAACGGGUGAGUAACGCGUAGGUAACCUGCCUGGUAGCGGGGGAUAACUAUUGGAAACGAUAGCUAAUACCGCAUAAGAGUAGAUGUUGCAUGACAUUUGCUUAAAAGGUGCAAUUGCAUCACUACCAGAUGGACCUGCGUUGUAUUAGCUAGUUGGUGAGGUAACGGCUCACCAAGGCAACGAUACAUAGCCGACCUGAGAGGGUGAUCGGCCACACUGGGACUGAGACACGGCCCAGACUCCUACGGGAGGCAGCAGUAGGGAAUCUUCGGCAAUGGACGGAAGUCUGACCGAGCAACGCCGCGUGAGUGAAGAAGGUUUUCGGAUCGUAAAGCUCUGUUGUAAGAGAAGAACGAGUGUGAGAGUGGAAAGUUCACAAUGUGACGGUAUCUUACCAGAAAGGGACGGCUAACUACGUG
rnacentral:rRNA from 1 species